rnacentral:tRNA from 5 species
GCCCAGGUAGCUCAGUUGGUAGAGCAGCGGACUGAAAAUCCGCGUGUCGGUGGUUCGAUCCCGCCCCUGGGCACCA